AGAUUGAACGCUAGCGGGAUGCUUUACACAUGCAAGUCGAACGGCAGCGCGGACUUCGGUCUGGCGGCGAGUGGCGAACGGGUGAGUAAUAUAUCGGAACGUGCCCAGUAGCGGGGGAUAACUACGCGAAAGCGUGGCUAAUACCGCAUACGCCCUACGGGGGAAAGGGGGGGAUCGCAAGACCUCUCACUAUUGGAGCGGCCGAUAUCAGAUUAGCUAGUUGGUGAGGUAAAGGCUCACCAAGGCGACGAUCUGUAGCUGGUUUGAGAGGACGACCAGCCACACUGGGACUGAGACACGGCCCAGACUCCUACGGGAGGCAGCAGUGGGAAUUUGGACAAUGGGGGAAACCCUGAUCCAGCCAUCCCGCGUGUGCGAUGAAGGCCUUCGGGUUGUAACCUCUUUAGUAGGAAGUAAGCGAAAGUGACGGUACCUGACAGAAAAGCGACCGGCUAACUACGUGCCAAGCAGCCGC
rnacentral:rRNA from 1 species